rnacentral:lncRNA from 1 species
AUUUUGUUAACUAGCUACAUAAUAUAUUUUAAGAGUACCUUAUAGUAUGUUGUAUUGUCGGUCCAAAGGUGGCUUUACAAUGAUGCAUCUAGGCUCUUACCGUAAUGAAAUUCAUAUGUUUCGAGUUAAAUUACGAAUUAUCUGAUUAAUAGCCCAUAUUAAUUAGUUGGAUAUUAUAUCAUCCAUUUGAUUGCAUGUAUUACGUUUAGAUGAUAUUGAGUGUGAUAUGUUAUGCUUCCACAGUUUAUAAUGCCUCAUCUCUUUCGAAUCAAUUGUCUGCUAUUGAGACUUUGACUGGGAAUAACUAUGUGAAAUGGAAACGAGACGUAGAAAUAGCACUUGGUCUUUUGGGCUUGAAUUUUGCAAUGGAGAAAAAGCUUGAAAAACCCACAGAUAAGAGUACCAUUGAAUAUGUAGUCGAGUAUGAAAAGUUGGAAAAGGCUAACAAACUCUGUUUGAAAAUCAUUAAGCGAUCGAUAUCUGAUUCCAUUCUAGGUGUCAUCCCUGAUAAUGAAAAUGCCAAAAGUUUUAUGGAUGACAUAGGAGAAAAAUUUGUUGAGUCUGAUAAAGUCGAAACUGGGGAUCUGAUGGAUAAAUUGAUGAGCAUGAAAUAUGAUGGCACAAGUGGUGUUAGGGAGCAUGUCAUGAAAAUGAUAAAUAUAUCAUCUAAACUAAAGGCUCUUGACAUUCCCAUUGCGGCACCUUUCCUGGUCUAUCAUGUUUUGAAUAGUCUUCCUAGCAAGUUUAAUCAACUUAAAGUUGCUUAUAAUGGUCAGCAGGAUAAAUGAAAUUUGAAUGAUCUCAUAGCAGUGUGUGCCCAAGAAGAGUAUAGGAUGCGCCGUGAAACUGUUGAAACUGUGCAAUUAGCUUUUCAGCCAUCACAGAAUAAGGGGCCUUCUCAUAAUCAUAAACCUAAGGUAAUAAGUCCCAUCGAAGUCAGCAAAAUAAAAAUUUUGGUGGUCCCAAAGCAGUUAGAAAGAAAAAUGAUCAAUGCAAGUUCUAUAAAAAGAAGGGUCACUGGUAGAAAGACUGUUUUAAGUUCAAGACUUGGUUGGAAAAGAAGAGGAGUUCUCCAGGUAUUCCCUUGGCCUUAGUUUGUUUUGAGUCUUCUUUAAUAGAUGUGCCUUUGAAUUCUUGAUGGUUAGAAUCGGGAGUUAGUAUUCAUAUUGCGAAUUCCUUGCAGGGGUUCACAAGGAAAUGGAGGCUAAGUGAGAAUGAAGUAAGCUUGAGCAUUGCAAAUGGAUUUCAAGUGAAGGUUGAAUUCAUAGAAGUAGUGAAGUUAACUUUAGAGUCUGAUUUUUAUCUUAUUUUGGAAAAUACAGUUUAUGUACCGCAAAUGAGAUGGAAUUUAAUUUCUAUACCGAAACUUGAUGCUUGUGGUUUUACAUUUAAUUUUGGUAAUGGAAUGGUUAAGUUAUUUAAUGAUUCUCAUUUGAUUGGAAAUGACAUUUUAUAUGAUGGUUUAUAUAAAUUAUCUUUAGCUCCUUUUGGUGAUGUCUUGUGUGUUACAAAUGUAUCAAAGAAAAGAACUUUAAUUCGUGAAUCAUCCUCUAUGUUGUGGCAUAAGAGUUUGGGUCAUAUCUCUAAGGAUAGAAUGGAAAGAUUAGUAAAAGAUGAGAUACUUCCAUCUUUAGACUUCUCCGAUUUUAACACUUGUGUAGAUUGUAUAAGAGGAAAGUUAACUAAGUCUACAAGGAAGGGUUCGACUAGGAGUAAUGAAAUUUUGGACUUGAUUCACACUGAUAUCAGUGGACCUUUGCCUUCCACUAUAUGUGGGAAUAAAUAUUUCAUAACUUUCAUUGAUGAUUUCUCACGAUAUGAAUAUGUUUACUUGAUUAACGACAAAUCACAAGCACUUGAGAAAUUCAAAGUUUUCAAACUGGAAGUAGAGAAACAAUGUAAGAAAAGUAUCAAUGUUGUAAGAUCUGAUCGAGGUAGUGAGUACUAUGAAAAAUAUGACGAAUCUGGUCAAAGCAUGGGUGAUUUUGCAAAGUUUUUACAAGAGUGUGGAAUAGUGCCCCAAUACACCAUGCCAGGGAAACCUAAGCAAAAUGGUGUUUCUGAAAGACGUAAUCGAACUUUAAAAGAUAUGGUUAGAAGUAUGAUGAGUAGAACAAAUUUGCCUGAAUAUUUGUGGGGUGAAGCCUUGAAAACUGCUAUAUAUAUUUUGAACAGAGUUUUAAGUAAAGCUAUUGCAAAGACACCGUUUGAAUUAUGGACAGGAUGUAAGCCAAGUAUAGAUCACUUUAAAGUUUGGGGAUAUCCAGUUGAGGUUAGGAUUUAUAAUCCAUUUGAAAGGAAAUUAGACCAUAAAUCAACUCCUGAAUACUUUAUUGGGUAUCCGGAUAGAUCAAAGGGAUAUAAGUUUUACUGUCCAAAUCGCGGCACUAGAAUUGUGGAGUCCAUUACUGCUAAGUUUCUGGAGAACGAUUUUGGAGAUAGUGGGAGUUCCACGUUGAGAGAAAUUCUUGUUGAACCUAAC